AUGAUCCUCCAGUAUUGGUGGGGCGUUGAGAAUGGGAAGAAGAAGAUGGCAUGGAUGAGUUGAGACAAGUUGCGUCUACCAAAAUCUAUGGGUGGCAUGGGGUUUAAGGAUAUGCGGGCUUUCAAUCAAGCUUUACUGGCCAAACAAGCUUGGAGAUUGCUAGAUUCACCGGAUAGUCUAUGUGCACGGCUCUUGAAAGCUCGUUACUACCCGACGGGACAACUUUUGGAUACCUCGUUCUCUGGUAAUGGCUCUUCUGCCUGGAAGGGCAUACUUCAUGGCCUUGAU
rnacentral:rRNA from 1 species